GAUAUAUGAUAUGACUUGCAGGAAGAAGAUUUGACAACCAUUCAUGGUCACCGUGACAGCCCUUUAAAUUCUUCAGGAAAUGGACCAGAGCUCUUCUGACUCUACAGUGAUCCUUGAACUAAGUUCCGUCCCUGAAAAGGAGGACAUAAGUGUUCCUGAACUCAAGAGAGCAGAAAGUGUAUUUGUUCAUCAACAAUGGCGAGAAAGAAGUGGAGCACC